UGGGAAAUCUGGAUUUACUGGCCAUCACUUUAACUCAAAGAUAGGGGCAGAAGAUGGAGCUCAAGGAGUCCUUUUACACCACAAAACCGCAAAUGGGCGUCCAAGUGUAACAUAUGCCAUUGCAGCAGAGGCAACGGAUGAUGUUCACGUCUCACUUUGUCCUUGCUUUGUAAUAUCCGGUGAGUCCGAGGGCAUUUCAGCAAAAGAUAUGUGGCAAGAAAUUAAAA
rnacentral:misc_RNA from 1 species